rnacentral:rRNA from 1 species
GAGCAUUCUUAUCGCGGCGAAGCAGUACCGGAAGGAGCUGUGGAGUGAUAAGAAGAGAGAAUGCCGGAAUGAGUAGCGAGAGGAAGGUGAGAAUCCUUCCGGCCGAAUAUCCAAGGUUUCCAGAGUAAAGCUGAUCUGCUCUGGGGAAGUCGGGACCUAAGGCGAGGCCAAGAGGCGUAGUCGAUGGACAACAGGUUGAAAUUCCUGUACUGUCAUGUAACAGAACUGUGGGGACGCAGGGAGGAAAGAAGAGCCGGGAAUGAAGAGACCGGUGCAAGCGAGGUAGGAGUCCGAAAGGCAAAACCGUCAGACAAUCCGAAGACGUGAUGCGCAGCGAACUGAAGUAGCGAAGCUUCGGCCCCUAACUGCCAAGAACAGCCGCUAUUGUUUGCAUGACACCCGUACCGUAAACCGACACAGGUGGAUGAGGAGAGAAUCCUAAGGCCGACGGGAGAAGCAUUGUUAAGGAACUCGGCAAAAUGACCCCGUAACUUCGGGAGAAGGGGUGCCUCGAAAGAGGCCGCAGAGAAUUGGCCCAAGCAACUGUUUAGCAAAAACACAGGUCUAUGCAAAACCGAAAGGUGAGGUAUAUGGGCUGACGCCUGCCCGGUGCUGGAAGGUUAAGAGGAGAGCUUAGCGCAAGCGAAGGUUUGAAUUUAAGCCCCAGUAAACGGCGGCCGUAACAAUAACGGUCCUAAGGUAGCGAAAUUCCUUGUCGGGUAAGUUCCGACCCGCACGAAAGGCGUAAUGAUUUGGGCGCUGUCUCGACAAUGCACCCGGUGAAAUUGAAGUACCAGUGAAGAUGCUGGUUACCCGCGCCAGGACGGAAAGACCCCAUGGAGCUCUACUCUAGCUUGAUACUGGGAUUCGGUAUUGUCUGUACAGGAUAGGUGGGAGGCUAUGAACCGUGGACGCCAGUCUGCGGGGAGCCGCUGUUGGGAUACCACCCUUACAAUACUGGAUUUCUAACCUGCCGCCAUGACCUGGCGGAGGGACAAUGUCUGGUGGGGAGUUUGACUGGGGCGGUCGCCUCCGAAAGAGUAUCGGAGGCGCUCAAAGGUCCUCUCAGGAUGGACGGAAACCAUCCGAAGAGUGCAAAGGCAUAAGAGGGCUUGACUGUGACACCGACGGGUGGAGCAGGUACGAAAGUAGGACUUAGUGAUCCGGUGGUAGAAAGUGGGAUUGCCAUCGCUCAACGGAUAAAAGCUACCCUGGGAUAACAGGCUUAUCACUCCCAAGAGUUCACAUCGACGGAGUGGUUUGGCACCUCGAUGUCGGCUCAUCGCAUCCUGGGGCUGUAGCAGGUCCCAAGGGUUGGGCUGUUCGCCCAUUAAAGCGGUACGCGAGCUGGGUUCAGAACGUCGUGAGACAGUUCGGUCCCUAUCCGGCGCGGGCGUAGGAUAUUUGAGAGGAGCUGUCCUUAGUACGAGAGGACCGGGAUGGACGAACCGCUGGUGGAUCGGUUGCAUUAUCAAGUGCAUGGCCGAGUAGCCAAGUUCGGAAGGGAUAAACGCUGAAGGCAUCUAAGCGUGAAGCCCCCCUCAAGAUGAGAUAUCCCAUUCUUUAAAAGAAGUAAGACCCCUUGAAGACCACGAGGUAGAUAGGGCAGAGGUGGAAGUACGGUAACGUAUGGAGCUGACUGUCACUAAUCGGUCGAGGGCUUGACC